GAGCUUGCCGCCAAGAGGACCAAGUAUAGUGUCCCGUCCGAUGAUGAAGAUCCCAUUGUGUUACCACCUGUCCUCAGUCUCUCACCUUGGAAGUCGUGUGAGGAUCCUGGAUUGCCAUUCCCUGUCCUCAGUCCCGCAACUUUGAUGCACUAUGAAGAUCCCAUUUUGUCACCCCGCGUUUUCAGCCCUUCACUAUCAACACGCUAUGAUGAAGAUGAGCUGGCCGCCAAGAAGACCAAGUAUAGUGUCCCGUCCUUUCCCUAUGAUGAAGAUCCCAUUGUGUUACCACCUGUCCUCAGUCUCUCACCUUGGACAUCAUGUGAAUAUCCUAUUUUGUCAUCCCCCGUCCUCAGUCCCUCGUGUAUAAUGGCACGUAAAAGUCCUGUUUUUUCAUCCCCCGUCCCCGUCCUUAGUCCCUCAACAUUGAUGCACUAUGAAGAUCCCAUUUUGUCACCCAGUGUUUUCAGUCUCCCACCAACGAUGCUAUAUGAGGAUCCCAUUCUGUCUCCUCGCAUUUUCAGUCCUUCACCAUCAACACGCUGUGAUAGUCCAACUUUGUCACCCUCUAGCUUCUGUUCCUGGUUGGAGGCUGAACUGGACACAGAAGAGGCAGCAAUACCUUCAACAUCUAGUGGAAUUACAGCAAGAGAGAGUUCCAGAAACGUUUGGUUUAGACCUCACUGCGUCUUGUCAAGUGAUUCUGAUUAGAUUGGGAUCCGUAAAAACUGAAGACCUAUUUGGGAAGUCACAUUAGGACAUCAUCAUUUCUCUCAUGUUUUUUAUUAAAGCCAAUGGGUUUCUAGCAAGCCUGUGGACGCCUUAGGUAGCGCCUUGCACCAGGGCUUUUCUUUAUCCCGCUGCUAGAUUUAGUAUUUUAGAUUAUAAGGAUUCUGACAGGACUGAGGAAGUCUUAGGUAGCGCCUUGCACCGGGGCUUUUCUUCAUCUUUGUGUUUUCCUCUCAACUCCCCCAUGUUUCAAGGUGUAAUAGUGAUGCUUCCCUACACGCUGCUCUCCAAUAUAGUGAAUUAUUCUGUCCUGUUUCUCUACUAAUCCAGUCUCCCAGUUUUUAAUCUUUCAGGUUUUAGCUGCUCAUCGCUGGAUCCUUUCAUCGUUGUCCAUGUGGUUCCUGCCUUCUGGAUCCCUUGUUUUUCACACUGCUUGUUGGAUCUCGUCAGCCUGUAAAUCUCCACCUUCAACACCACCAGUGAGAUGGAGGAAGAUAAGAGAACCCAGUUGAAAAAAAAUUCCUUUCAUAACAGCAGAGCUUUGAUGAGUUUGAGCUGAUGGAAGGAGGAUCAGGAAUAGAGUAGAGGACCUGCUGAUCUACUGGUUCUAGUAGAUUUUAUAAAUGCAUCACUGAGACAAGACAACAGUGCUGGACCAAUCAGGAGAGAGAAGACACAGAGGACUGAAGGGACACAGAAAAUCCUGAGAUGAAGUUUCCUGAUGCAACGGGGGGACACCUGAGGACACAGAAUAAAGAGACAGACAUCAUGUUGGAUCUCCUCAGCCGGUAAACCUCCACCUUCAACACCACCAGUCAGAUGGAGGAAGAUAAGAGAACCCUGUUGACAAAAAAACUGACCAACAAUUAAAGCAGAAGACCUGCUCCACCUGCUGAUCUACUGGUUGUAAGAGAUUGUGGAAAAGCAUAACUGAGACAAGACAACAGCACUGAACCAAUCAGGAGAGAGAAGACAGAGAGGACUGAGGACUAAAACAAAUAUACAAAGCCUGACAAAAAAGGCAGAUGAUCCAGUGGCCCCAGGUUUACACACCAUCUCAUUUAGGAGCUUUUACUUUGGAAAUCCCCAUGAAGAUGCCAGGCUGCCUGUAGCCCCUUCCUGUGAAUCCACUAAAGUAACAUUGAGCCUUAUUUGGGUGAAGUUAGCUUUAAAAAACCUACUAUAAGUACGUUUGUCAUACCUAAGAGAGACGGAGCAGAAGAAGAAGGAAUGAAGGACUGUUGCAUGACAAGUGAAUCUGACACGUACCGCAGCUCAUCUUUUGAGGCAGACUCAGAUGGAGAAAGUGGCAUAAAAAGCAACAGUGGAAACGGGUCAAACAACGACAGAUGAGGAGCCGAUCACUUUCAAACUCACACUCACCCCCAUCCGCCUCACCCCCUCCUCCCACCUGACAGACGCCAAACACUGAGCCUCCCUCAUCGCUAGAGAACCUCCUCGCCUCCAUCACUGUCAGGGACACAAACAUCCUGAAGUGACUGGCUGAGGUGGAUGCAGACACUCUGAGGGUACUCGGAGCAGGUGGAGUGUGUCGUUUUCCAGAAGAGCGAUCUGUGUGUGUGUGUGUGUGUGCAGGAACUACAGUGACUCUGCCCUGCCGUUACAACUACACCCCUCAGGUCACACUGUGAGGCGCGUUAUGUGGUCACCACACCGACCCCAACCAGAUCAGCCCUUCCAGCCGCGCUACACCGGGGGAAGCAAUUCGAGCCGUUCGGUUCAGAUUCGGGGUGUGAAGCUGGGCGAUGCGGGCCAGCAUCACUUCAGGUUUGAGACAGACUGACCGCUGGGGAGAUGGACCUCACCUGACACCAUUACUCUGGAUGUAGCAGCUGGACUCUCCUGCCAAUUAAAACAUCAAUGACUCUGGAAGCGGACAGCGAGGUUUCUGGUGCCUGGCUGGAGACGAGAUUCUGAUUAUUCAAGAGCCAAAACAAAAUGUCAGAAUAAAUAGUUAGAAGCCAGCUUUGUUUUCUAUUUGUUAUUGUUUUUAUUAUUAAUGGUCCACAACACAAAAUUCAUCAGUGCUGUAACUCUUGAGUUGAAUAAAAUAUUCUUCUUUCAA